AUAUCACAUUGAAACACCCGUUCCCAUGUGAUCACUGAAGUUAAGCAAUGUUGAGCCUGGUCAGUUCUGAGAUAGGUGAAAUACCAGGUGCUGGAA